UAAAAUAAAUCGCCAUUUUCACUUGAAAUUAAAAACCCUUCCUUGCGGCCUUGCUUCCCAGCCUUCCAACGUCUGAAGCAGUUCUCCAAAUCCCAAUCUACACCCUCCCGGCCUCCCCUAUCUCUCACUCAUCUCUCACCUCAAUCAGAUCGGAAAACAACUUUGAAAUCGAUCAGCGGCGUCCCCUUCAACCCCGACGGCUGGGGACCGGUUGAACCCUCCGUCGGAACCAACACUUCUCUCCUCCCCAACCACCCCGUCAACGUUCCCUUCGCUCCCUUUUCUCGGUCCGACAAACUGCUAUUCUUUAUGCCUUCAAGAGCAUAACUUUUUCGAUGUUCAAAACCCAAACCCGAUUCAGAUUCAGAGGCGGACUCUCGCAUCAGAGACUGUUUUGGAGCGGCAUAGAGUAACGGAGAAGGACCGAGAUAGAGAGAGGGAAAGGGAUCGUCACCAUAAGGACCGAGAUCG
rnacentral:lncRNA from 1 species